UUCGAUUCUGGCUCAGGAUGAACGCUAGCUACAGGCUUAACACAUGCAAGUCGAGGGGCAUCGAGAGGAAAGCUUGCUUCCUGUCGGCGACCGGCGCACGGGUGAGUAACGCGUAUCCAACCUUCCCCUUAGUAGGGCAUAGCCCGGCGAAAGUCGGAUUAAUACCCUAUGUUUUCCGAUGAGGACAUCUGAGCUGGAAUAAAGAUUUAUCGCUAAGGGAUGGGGAUGCGUCUGAUUAGGUAGUCGGCGGGGUAACGGCCCACCGAGCCAACGAUCAGUAGGGGUUCUGAGAGGAAGGUCCCCCACAUUGGUACUGAGACACGGACCAAACUCCUACGGGAGGCAGCAGUGAGGAAUAUUGGUCAAUGGGCGAGAGCCUGAACCAGCCAAAGUAGCGUGCAGGAUGACGGCCCUAUGGGUUGUAAACUGCUUUUAUCGGGGGAUAAAGUGAGGGACGCGUCCCUUUUUGUAGGUACCCGAUGAAUAAGGACCGGCUAAUUCCGUGCCAGCCGCCGC
rnacentral:rRNA from 1 species